ACUUUAGUAAUUUAUUACUAUAUUAUUAUAUAUUUUGCAUUGUAUAAUGUUGCAUUAUAUAAACAAUAGCCUGUUGAUGCAAUUUUAAACAUGCCAGAAGAUAUAUCAUUGCAAAAAAUUUUAAUUGAUAAAGGAAAUGGACCACAAGAUAUCUCUGUACUUAAAUCACCUAUAAAUUUGGUAAUACACACUGGUAAUGUUGCAAACUGGCAUAAUCUAAAAUCAAGAAAAGCUCAAGUCCCUGCUAAUGAGCUUUUUCAAAGUUUGCAGACCACAUUAUUAAAAUGGAAUGCUAAUUCCUCCAAUGAUAAUGAGGAAAAGUGCUGUGAAGCUCUUGAUGAUUAUUACAAUAAUGAUGAAGAAAGACCGCUUGUCACAAUAACAGUAAAAAUUCUUCUUCAUAAAUUCAAAACAGAUUUUAUUGAAAGUGCUGUAAAUACAACAUUAGAUUUAUUGAGUGUUACUUACUUUGAUACUCUCAUUUUGGCAUUGCCACCAUUGGAAGAGUCUGAAGAAUCAUUCCAGCAAGUUGUAUUACCAUAUUGGGAGGUAAUGGAAAAGUUAAACAGAAGUGGUGUUGCUAAAAUGAUAUCUUCAUGCGAUUUGGAUCAACAAAAGCUACAGUCACUUAUUGAAAAAGCUUCUAUUCCUCCAAUGAUUAAUCAAGUAAAUCUUACAUCAUGUUGCCACAUGCCACAAGAUUUGGUUGCAUUUGCAAAAGAAAACAAUAUUAUAUUACAUACACAUGGAGAUCAACAAGUAAUGUUAGGAGAAAUAGCUGUUGACAAUUUAAUCAAGUCCGUUGAUCCGACCAAUAAUUUGCUGUGGGAAACAAAUUGGGUUAUUCGAUAUGCAGUCGUCAUCAAGUGUCGAGGAGUCAUUAAAAGCAAAGGAUAUAUUGCUUCUCUAUCUUCGAAGCAUAUAUGAAUAUCAAUAACAUGAAACUUAGUAUACAGUGAUGCAUUUUUAAGCACGUUUUUAGUAUCUAGUCUACCUACUCAGCGUAAAUAAAGAGAGAUCUGAAGGAAAGUAUUGCGUUUAGGCUCUUUCGUUUUCAAAAAAUACCGACUUCUUUUUUGCGCGUUCUGAUUGGUUUAUUUGUUUUUUAAAAAUCUUGAAACUCUGUUUUAUUUUGUUUAUAAAUGUGUGGUGAUAUCUACGAAUUUCAAAUUUUAGCUAAUUACUUUAGGGGCAAGAGUUAUAUAAAAGCUCGAACGUUUUUUUUGGUUUUUUUUUGGUAAUUAAUUUAAACGACUAUAAAGAGAUUAUGGAAUUAAAUUAACUGAAGUAAAAACUAAUGUGAAAUUUUUGAUUUGA